GGAGGAGACGCACAUGGACGGAGGCGUUUGGGGGUGGUUGAUGAGCGUCGAUGGCCUGUACCGCAGCAUGGCGAUUGGAUGUGGGUCCAGCUCGUUUUUUCUCCAGCGACAAGGGAGAAAGGGGAUCUGGGGAUAGAAGCGAAGGCUCUGAGUGUGCGGCGGCGGCGCAAGUGGUGGCGGCGACGGAGGCAUAUCAGCGAGAAGGCAAAAACUACAUGCUCGCGUGGAUCGCUCCCCGGUGGGCGAGAAUGUGGCGGCUGACUUCCCAGUCGCUCCGGUUGACAGGAAGGUUGUAGGUUACCCAUCUUCGCAGAGGAGGCGUGCAGCGCAGUGGCUCUAAUGGAGAUGCUGGGGAGCGGAGACGCUGCGGAAGAGGAAUCCGCCAAUGGAUCCAGAUGGGGGAUCUCGAGAUGAGGGGAAAACCUAGCGAGACGAUUUGGUGAAGCUUGGCCGGGCUGAUUGGAGCGAUGCCGACUGCGGCGAGCAAACCAGUGUUGCUGCUGGUGGAGGCGCCAUGUCCAAUUUCACCUAAGUGAAGGAUCUACAUUGACAACCUUGACCUGGGCAUCUUCAACAUGAAACACGAUGUGUUCCCGAGGAUCAAACAAUUUGGCGAGGGCAUGGUGCGGUGGAUGGCCACAAUGGCCACGGACGUUGGAGUUGCCGAGCCAUCAUUUGCAUCAGCAUCGCUUAGGGAUCCUUCUAGAGUGUCUUACCGAGGAAGACAUGCGCAAACAGUUGUUGCAACCAAUUUUACGCUAUACCAGUUAAUGCGUCUAUGCAAAGCAGAGUGACUGGCAAGUGUAAAGAUUGGAGGAAGUGUUGAACCCUUUGGUCUCGGGCCGCUGUAUAUAUUGAGAGAUUAUCGUGGGAUACAAGUUUGGGAGGUCGCUAGGACUUUGCAGAGUUACAUGAGAGAGAUACAGGAGAUUACACGAGAGGGAGAAGAGAUAGAAAUUUGAAUACAACACAUAUAUCUCUAUCUAUCUAUCUAACAUCCUCCCUAAAUCUAGACCUAUGAAACUCUGUCAAGAUUUAGAUUGUAUAUAAACUCGUCCAUUCUCCUCGUGGAAAGUGGCUUGGUAAACCCAUCAGCAAGUUGAUCUCCUGUGGGAAUAAACCUGAUGUCAAGUAGCUUUCGAGCCACCCGUUCUCUGACAAAAUGGAAAUCAACUUCUUUGUGUUUUGUUCGUGCAUGGAAAA